rnacentral:rRNA from 1 species
UUACAAUGGAGAGUUUGAUCCUGGCUCAGGAUGAACGCUAGCGGCAGGCCUAAUACAUGCAAGUCGGACGGGAUUGGAGAGCUUG